GAUGAACGCUGGCGGCGUGCCUAAUACAUGCAAGUCGAGCGAACGGACGAGAAGCUUGCUUCUCUGAUGUUAGCGGCGGACGGGUGAGUAACACGUGGAUAACCUACCUAUAAGACUGGGAUAACUUCGGGAAACCGGAGCUAAUACCGGAUGAUAUUUUGAACCGCAUGGUUCAAAAGUGAAAGACGGUCUUGCUGUCACUUAUAGAUGGAUCCGCGCUGCAUUAGCUAGUUGGUAAGGUAACGGCUUACCAAGGCAACGAUGCAUAGCCGACCUGAGAGCGUGAUCGACCACACUGGAACUGAGACACGGUCCAGACUCCUACGGGAGGAAGCAGUAGGGAAUCUUCAGCAAUGGGCGAAAGCCUGACGGAGCAACGACGCGUGAGUGAUGAAGGUCUUCGGAUCGUAAAACUCUGUUAUUAGGGAAGAACAUAUGUGUAAGUAACUGUGCACAUCUUGACGGUACCUAAUCAGAAAGCCACGGCUAACUACGUA
rnacentral:rRNA from 1 species